UGGACUGAUUACGAUGGAAGGAAUGUCCCUC
rnacentral:piRNA from 1 species